rnacentral:rRNA from 1 species
AGCCGCAAUUUGUGCUAAGGUAGCAUAAUCAUUUGUCUUUUAAAUGAAGACUAGAACAAAAGAUUUAACAUUUCAUUAAAUUUUUUUAAAAUUUUAAUUCAAAAUUAAUAAUAAUGUUAUAAAUCAUUUCUCAAAAAGAAAGACGACAAGACCCUAUUGAACUUAACUUAUGUUUUACUGGGGAAGUAAAUUAAUUAUAAUUUUAAUUAAAAUUUUAAGAAAAAAAUCUAAAUUAUUAAUUAAUUCAGUUACCAUAGGGAUAACAGAAUAAUUACAUUUAAGAGAUCUUAUCUAAAAAGUAUAUUAUUACCUCGAUGUUGAAUUAAUAACCUAAUUUUAAGCAAAAAUAAAUAUAAGGAAGUCUGUUCGACUUUUCAAAAAUUACAUGAUUUGAGUUCAGACCGGUGUAAGCCAGGUCAGUUUCUAUCUUCUAAACACAUUUUUACAGUACGAAAGGACCUAAAAAUUUAAAAUAUUUAUAUAUUUGGCAGAAAAAUGCAUUAGAAUUAGAAUCUAAUAAAUCU